UUCGUCUCCACGAUCACCAAUUUUUUCUUCUUUUUUUCUUUUAGGGCACGUGCGGCCUCCUCUAUUUUCCACCGGAAACUCCUCUUUUUUUCUUCCUCGUCCCGUUUCGUGUUUUCUCACGCAACUCUGCCACUGCUUCCCAGGAUCCACAAUAGAUGCCGCUGUCUUUUUCUUCUCCAGCCCUGAUACCUGUCGGCUCUCUCCAAAACCGCCCAUAACACAACACUACCGUUUCCAGGAUUACUCCGCCGAAACGGGAGUGCAAAGCAAGGCGGGCUUUUUCAAUUAGGGGGCCCCAAACGUAGGCCAUCGCCUACUCCUCGCCUUGCUCAACACGAAAUUCCGCUUAUAUAUCUCCUGACCCGGCUUCAUGAGAGUUUCCUCGGACCUCAUCUCGGACUAUUUCCAUCUUAUCACUCCUCGCCAAGGGUGACACUUGUGCAUCAUUUAGGGCGCCCAGUCUGCGUGCCAAUUUAUAAUCUCGGCCGCUAGUAAACAUGUGCUGCCCAAACAACACAAAGUAUGGCGACGUCCCGAUGCCCGUGUGUAUGGCACUCCUAGCCACACAAUGGAUCUCCGUCAGCUUCUCGUCCCAGCGCGUGUGAUCCUCACUAACGUACGUCCUUAUUACUGCCAGUACUGUCUGGUUCACUCGUUCGGCACGCCAAACUGCGCGAAGACCUCGGCGUGCAAGAAUCGGAAGCCUUCAAUCAGACAUAUCUGGACAUGUGAUCGAGGACUAUCAGUAUGACUACAUUGCCACUUCGAGUCCACUUCGAGUCGGAUAUGGACCCUGGAAAUCCAGGUGUCACAAUCAGCCACAUAUGACUUCACCUGCACGGUCAUCCGGGGCCACCGUCCCAGUGUCCUCGCGAUCCCUCCAUGCAUUGCCACAUCGCUGUCGUGAGCAUGUUGGAUCAGUGUGCUCGUCAGGGCUUCUGGGAUCCAUACGUAUGCACGGAACUUCUCUAUGGCUCUUACCGCCGCCAGACACUCCUUCUCUGGUACGCUAUAGUUGAGCUGUGCCCCUCUUAGCUUAGAAGGAAGAGGAACUCUUAGGAAGAGAACUGCUCCAAUCCCCACGUGGCUCGCAUCACACUGGAUAAAGAAGUGCUUCUUAAAUUCCGGGUGAUGUAGCACGGGGGCGCUGACAGUCCGUCAGAGGAGCCGAGAGUGCGGAGAAAUUUCGGAUAAACCGCCGAUACCAGCCAGCUGUCCCCAAAAAUCUCCGGAUUUGUUUCACGUUCCUUGGCAUUGGUAUUUGGGUGAUCGCCUGCACUUUCUCCGGAUCUUUCCUAAGUGCGCCGUCGCCUACGAUGUACCCUAAAUACUUUAAAUAUUUAUAGCCGAUCGGUUUUUUCCCGGCUUCCGUACCAGCGUCACGCGGUUGCUCCACGGGCUCUCGCUUGUUUCGAUGACUCCGAGACGCGACAAUUCGUCCACCUCGGCAAACAACAGCUCUUGCACCGCGGGAGAUACCGGGUAGAAUCGCUCCUUUACGGGUACGGCUCCCUCGAUUAAUUGAAUUUCGUGCCUUUCGAGCGUCGUUCUUCCCAAACCAUGUGUGUCGAAUGCCCUGAAGUUGUUCUUCACCUGGUCCAGACGUGUCUGCUGCGUGUGCGUCAACUCGUGCGGUUCCGUUGGUUUACUCCUAGUCAGCACCUCAGCAUCAAUUUCGGCUAAUUCCUUGUGUCGUUCUAGGCCUACUAUAUUCGGAGCCAGACCAAACUUCCGCCAGAAAUCGACCGAUUGUACAGCGAUUGUUUUAGCGAGGGACACAGAAACAACUCCAUAGUCUGCUUCUGGCCUCCAUACGUCAUAGGUCCAUACGUCGACACAUGUCCCAGUAUUUUAUGAGGAGUGCCGCCCGCUUUCCAGGCCACCUUUCCCCAGAAGGCUCACCGAUGCCCCUGUAUCCAGUAGUCCCAUCAGCGUCCUCGGGCCCAACUUCUCUCGUGCGAAUGGCCUGUCAUCCUGACGCAUGGCCGAGUGGACUGCUGCACACACCUGGAGCCGCCUCCUCUUUCGCCCCUGGAACCUGUCCCGAGCCCGCUGUGCUCUGACUUCUCCCGUUCGGAUACUCUCAUCAACUUCGUUUACCAUUAUCCGAUUCCUGUUCGUACUGCCGCUAUCUUUCCUUCGGGUAUUACAGCUUGGUUAACCUUAUAUAUGGUAGUGUAAAUAUCCUUAUUGCUAUUUCUUUCCUUAGGGGUAUCUAAUUUAGCGUUGGAGGGCCUUUCUAUUGGCUGCUUCGCGGCGACGUGGAACUCGACUCCUCCAAUUGCGUCGUGCUCCUUUUCGCGUUUCCCGGCCGACAUUUAGGGCAUUUAGGGAGGAUGACCCCGGCCAGCCCGCACUUGUAGCAGAACAGGUUACGCACGGCCGACUCACACUCAAAAUAGGUGUGACCCGGCUGAGCGCAAUUCCAGCACUUCAGCUGGGUGCGAUCGAUUCCGGAUUCCCUCGUCCUAUGGACAGCAUCCAAAGCCUCGGUCUGUUCCUCCGGGUCGUGAGUGUUCGCAUCCAAUUCUUGUACUUUGUGCUCUUCCCUGCGCCCUUUGUUGGCUCCCUAUACCCUAUUU